AUUGAACGCUGGCGGCAUGCUUUACACAUGCAAGUCGAACGGUAACAGGCCGCAAGGUGCUGACGAGUGGCGAACGGGUGAGUAAUGCAUCGGAACGUGCCCAGUCGUGGGGGAUAACGCAGCGAAAGCUGUGCUAAUACCGCAUACGAUCUAUGGAUGAAAGCGGGGGACCGUAAGGCCUCGCGCGAUUGGAGCGGCCGAUGUCAGAUUAGGUAGGUGGUGGGGUAAAGGCCUACCAAGCCGACGAGCUGUAGCUGGUCUGAGAGGACGACCAGCCACACUGGGACUGAGACACGGCCCAGACUCCUACGGGAGGCAGCAGUGGGGAAUUUUGGACAAUGGGCGCAAGCCUGAUCCAGCAAUGCCGCGUGCAGGAAGAAGGCCUUCGGGUUGUAAACUGCUUUUGUACGGAACGAAACGGUCCGGGUUAAUACCCUGGGCUAAUGACGGUACCGUAAGAAUAAGCACCGGCUAACUACGUGCCAGCCGCCGCCGUAAUAC
rnacentral:rRNA from 1 species